AGUGAACGCUGGCGGUAGGCCUAACACAUGCAAGUCGAACGGCAGCACAGUAAGAGCUUGCUCUUACGGGUGGCGAGUGGCGGACGGGUGAGGAAUACAUCGGAAGCUACUUGUGCGUGGGGGAGAACGUAGGGAAACUUACGCUAAUACCGCAUACGACCUACGGGUGAAAGCAGGGGAGCUUCGGACCUUGCGCGAGUGAAUGAGCGGAUGUCGGAUUAGCUAGUUGGCGGGGUAAAGGCCCCCCAAGGCGACGAUCCGUAGCUGGUCUGAGAGGAUGAUCAGCCACACUGGAACUGAGACACGGUCCAGACUCCUACGGGAGGCAGCAGUGGGGAAUAUUGGACAAUGGGCGCAAGCCUGAUCCAGCCAUACCGCGUGGGUGAAGAAGGCCUUCGGGUUGUAAAGCCCUUUUGUUGGGAAAGAAAAGCAGCAGGUUAAUACCCCGCUGUUCUGACGGUACCCAAAGAAUAAGCACCGGCUAACUUCGUG
rnacentral:rRNA from 1 species